GCAAACUUGGUCAUUUAGAGGAAGUAAAAGUCGUAACAAGGUCUCCGUUGGUGAACCAGCGGAGGGAUCAUUAAAAGAGUUAAAAACUCCUUUAAACCAUCGCGGAAUAUACCUAUUAGUUGCUUCGGCGGGAGGCCUUGAGCCCUCGGCCCCGCCCGGGGCGCCCGCCGGAGGUUCGAACACUCUGUUUUACCGGAACUCUCUGAGACAGCGAUUAAACGCAAAAAACUUUCAACAACGGAUCUCUUGGUUGUGGCAUCGAUGAAGAACGCAGC
rnacentral:misc_RNA from 1 species